UAAAACAAAAACCAAAAUAAAAACACUGCAAUGUGUGUAUUUUAUAUGUCCUAGGUCAGCCUACCUGGCGUUAAUGAUAUAUUUCUUAGUGGUCAUUUUCAAGACAUUUUCACAUGUGUGGUUUGUGCUCUUAAAUCAGUCCAUAAGUUCUUUGAGGUAGGUACUAUUUGAGGGUGUAUUUCUGUAGGGUGUCCUAAAGCUCAAACUUUAAUAUGCAUGGGCCUCAAUAGGGGAUCUUGCUAAAAUGAAAAUGCUGAUUCAGCAGGAAUGGGAUGGGGCUGAGAUUUUGCAUUUCUGAGCAGCUUCCAGGUAUUGCUGCUGGUUGGAGGACCACCGUUUGAGUAGCAAGACCCUAAAACACCCAGGAUGAUGCCUCAACAUAAACAAGUAAAACUUUUUAUUGGUAGUAGUUCCAGCCAAAUUUCUCCUGUGAGACCCUGACCCCUUCAAGUAAAUGCUACCUCACGAUCAAAGGUAAGUCCUCUUCCCUUGGGUCAUGACACUGCCCUCUAAACUAACUGAAGCCUGAGGACAUGAUUCUGUUAUAAUGCAAUUGUUUGAAUUUGUGUUUAAAUUCGAGCAGUAUGAGUGGUUUUACUAAUGUCAUUUGAGGGGACUGGUGAAUUAUUUGGGUGUGCAUGGCCCAGCCCUGAUACGCUAGGCCACUCUUGAUAAGAGCCACAGUUAAUACUAGCUGAUCCCAUAAACUAGAGCCCACACUAGCCUGCAUAGAGUGUGGAGAGCCAUAACUCGCCUUCUGGAUAAGGGGCCCUCACUUUUCUCCCAGAUGGGUUAAGCAGGUGGAGGCCGAAACCAAGCUUACUUUUGUUGACCUGUGUCCAGUUAAGUCUCUGUUUCCUGUAAGAAGUCCUGCUCAGUCAGAGGCCAAAAACCCCACCUUAGUUUCACCUUCAAAACUAGGAAAAUCAGUCUUUGACUAUACUAAGCAGACUUCAGUAAAUGCUUUUGAACCAGGAGGUUCAGACCAGAAGGAUUGGCGGGCACGAAUGAAGCUACAGAAAUGUCUGACUGGUCUCAUGACCUGGCACCGAUAGGAGGCCAGUCCAGCCUCUCAGGACCUCGGUUUGCUUAUCAGCAUAAUCAAGGUGUUGGACUGGAAGCUUCUUAUCAGCGCUAAGAGUCUGUGGUUCUGAUCACCAUAUCAGGGAAAGGCAGGGGAGACAAGAAUUCCACACUUGGCUCCGUGACAGCAGUGUGCCUGGGAGCCUCUUGGGGGGCUCUUCUCCUCUUGCUGGUCUCAGCCCCAGUGCUUGUCCUAACCAGGCACUAAGUUACCCUUUCCUAGACAAUUGGGUGCCUCACAUCCGCCAGCCUGGUGUAGAAAGGCUUGAAAAGAUAUACCCUGUGCUGCCACCUAAUGGCUCCGAUUCUCUCCAGGCGAUUCUUCAGCACCAUUUGGAUGUUCCAGAAUCUCUAGGCCCUCUAUAAAACACAAUCCACCAGCGAUGAGAACCUAAGAUGUACCAGUCUAUUUUCAAUCCAAGAAGAUGAAGCUGUAGACUAGUGUUCUAGUUCAGGGGACUUUGUAGGAAAUGAUACUCCUAGAGUGAAGAUCCCAAAUACAAAAGUCUAAGGUGAAAGCUUUGAAUACAUUCAUUCAAUGAAUCAAGAAGCAUUGAUUGAGCACCUAAUAUAUGCUAAGCAAUGAUACAAUACCUUAGAAGUUCAGUAGCCAUCUUAGAAUGGGACAAAAGUGACAGACUAAGGAUGGUGAAGUAAAAAAGAAAGAAGAAGCCUUGACGACAUCAUUGAGCAGCUGCAUUAGCCCUGAACUGACCACAUUUGGGUUUAUUACAUGAGAAGAAAUUUAGUCCCCGUAGGAGUCUCCUACGUGCCAGGAAGCGUGUCAGCAGCUGGGGACACCGUGGGGAGCCAAAGCAGGCAGCAGGCUGCGGCAAGGGACUGGCUCAGAAGGAGGCUGUUCCCGCAGGUAAAUGUGCCCACCUAACCACUUGUUUCAGACAGCAGUGACAACGUUUGACUCAUUUGUACUUUCAGUUCAAGAAAAACACGUCACCUUGGGAUCCGAUUUUGCAAGUUCUGCUUUAUCACAGGAACUAGAAGACUCUGAUGAAUGAGGAUGGGACUUCAGUUCUUUUCCAUGGUGUGAAUAAAAAGUUGACUCUGCCUUUUUUUGGUCUGUCCCAACACAAGACCCCAUACUUUAACGAUAGAUGAAGAGAUCUGUCAGCACCUUUUAAUUCCAUUUAGUUCCUAUGUACAAAACACUAGGCUAGGCCUUGCUGCUGCUAGGAAGAUUGCAGCUAGAUCUUUUUAAGCUUGUCACACAAGCUCUUUGGGUAGUGAUUCCGGUGGGCUACAGCAUCAUGGCAAGUCAGCAGAGAGCAGCUUGAGUCAAGACUCUGAAAUUCCUGAUAUACCUGCCUUCCACUUGCUAGAUGUUCUUAAUUAUGGUGAAUUCCAGGGGCAAUUCCUUAAUCUCUCUGAACUUCAGUUUUCCAAUCAGUUCAUUGAAGGCUGGUGUCAAAGGGCUAUAGUAAAGAUUAAAAGAGAUAGUGCACGCCUAACUUUUGGCAUGGUGUCUGGCACUUAGUAAGAAAGCCACAAUAAAAACAAAGGCUAAAACAUCCUGUAAAACUGUGUUGUUUUACAUCUUAAUGGCUAAAUAGGACUGUUCCUGGCAUACAGCCACACAUCAUAAAAUACUUCCGCCUGCAGCUGCUGUUCCACCAGCUAGAGGUGAAGGCAAACAGUUCUGACCAGUAUCUCCCUAACUCUUUAAAGUCAGUGAGGUCCUCGUCCUCCCUCUCAGCCUUGGUGGGGACCCCACACCUGGCUCCCACACUCCUGGGUGCAGUAUCUGUCUGGAGGAAGGCUAAGCAAGGGGGGCUGGAAUGCCUGCAAUGGCUGGAGGGGCCACCGAGGGGCAGAGUUAGACCUGUCCUGGCAUCUUUAGCUUCUUUGGAACCUGGAGCCCACACCUCCCUAGCACAGUCUGCUCACUGAACACCUAAACACUUGGGUUCUCUCCCACCACCACCCAUCAUUGGUCAGUCAUCAGAAAUGGCUGUAAGGCAGCUUUCUUCAGCUGAGGAAGGGCAAUUCUUAGAGAAAUGCUCAUCUGAGAGCUAUCAGUUGACUCUCCCAGCAGGUGAGAGAAUGACUGCCUCCAUCCUGAAGCAGGGAAUCUAGGGAGGCAGCACGUCACAGCAUCCAUGACAACAGUCAAAUGGUAAGAAUUUCUGUCCCUAUAUCCCAGUUAUUUCUAGGACUUCUGAAACGAGGAUGAGCUGGGGGGAGGAUAGAGAAUCAUGAGAUAUGCCAUCAAAUUUCAUAGCCGGUUGUCUGGGAAAGUUCACUGAAAACUGCAUGUAGUACAGUUAU